rnacentral:rRNA from 1 species
GACGAACGCUGGCGGCGUGCUUAACACAUGCAAGUCGAACGGAAAGGCCCUGCUUUUGUGGGGUGCUCGAGUGGCGAACGGGUGAGUAACACGUGUGUAACCUGCCCUUGAAUUUGGGAUAACUUCAGGAAACUGGGGCUAAUACCGGAUAGGAGCUCCUGAUGCAUGGUGGGGGUUGGAAAGUUUCGGCGGUUGGGGAUGGUCUCGCGGCUUAUCAGCUUGUUGGUGAGGUAGUGGCUUACCAAGGCUAUGACGGGUAGCCGGCCUGAGAGGGGGACCGGCCACAAUGGGACUGAGAUACGGACCAGACUCCUACGGGAGGCAGUAGUGGGGAAUAUUGCACAAUGGGCGGAAGCCUGAUGCAGCAACGCCGCGUGCGGGAUGACGGCCUUCGGGUUGUAAACCGCUUUCGCCGGUGACGAAGCGUGAGUGACGGUAAUGGGUAAAGAAGCACCGGCUAACUACGUG